GCCCCUGUGGCCUAAUGGAUAAGGCGCCGCUCUCCUAAAGCGGAGACUGCGUGUUCGAAUCACGCCAGGGGUA